CGCAGUACCCUGACUGUGCUAAGGUAGCAUAAUCAUUUGCCUUUUAAUUGGAGGCUAGUAUGAAUGGCUUGACGAGAGUUUUACUGUCUCUAUUAUAUUAAAUAUAAAUUAUUUUUUAGGUGCAGAAGCCUAAAUAAAACUGAAAGACGAAAAGACCCUAUCGAGCUUUAGAUUAAAAUUAAAUUCUUUUGUUUUAGCACAAUAUUUUUUAAUUAAUUUUUUUGUUGGGGUGACAGAAGAACAAAUAAAACUUCUUUAUAUUUUAUAUAAACUAAUUAGUUUUAAAGAUCUAUUUUUAUACAAAUAAGAAAAGUUACCGUAGGGAUAACAGCGUUAUUUUUCUGGAGAGUCCUAAUUGAAGGAAAAGUUUGCGACCUCGAUGUUGGAUUAGAAUACCAUAUAGGUGAAGAAACUUAUAGACGGAGGUCUGUUCGACCAUUAAAUUUCUACA
rnacentral:rRNA from 1 species